rnacentral:misc_RNA from 1 species
GAUGAAGAACGUAGCGAAAUGCGAUACGUAGUGUGAAUUGCAGAAUUCAGUGAAUCAUCGAAUCUUUGAACGCACAUUGCACCUCUCGGUAUUCCGGGAGGUAUGCCUGUUCGAGCGUCAUUGCUGCCCUCAAGCACGGCUUGUGUGUUGGGCCCCGUCCUCCGAUCCCGGGGGACGGGCCCGAAAGGCAGCGGCGGCACCGCGUCCGGUCCUCGAGCGUAUGGGGCUUUGUCACCCGCUCUGUAGGCCCGGCCGGCGCUUGCCGAUCAACCCAAAUUUUUAUCCAGGUUGACCUCGGAUCAGGUAGGGAUACCCGCUGAACUUAAGCAUAUCAAUAAGCGGAGGA